rnacentral:lncRNA from 1 species
AUUAGCUGUCAGAUAACUGCGAGUACUCUCAGAUCUGUUCAUUGUGUCUUUUUGUGUCGGGAUGUAUAAGUACCGGGCCACGUCCACUUGUAUUUUUGUCCAUCUGAUGAGUUAAGCCUUUUUCAACUGAUUUUUAUAGUUCGUUCUUAUGUUGUACUGUUAUACCACUGUCCCAGGUUAGUGGGAGGUUUGGGAUCCCGCUAACAUGUUUAACCCCGCCACAUUAUUUAUGUAUGUGCCUGUCCCAAGUCAGGAGCCUGUAAUUCAGUGGUUGUCGUUUGUUUAUGUGUUACAUAUUUGUUUUUCGUUCAUUUUUUUACAUAAAUAAGGCCGUUAAUUUUCUCGUUUGAAUUGUUUUACAUUGUCUUAUCGGGGCCUUUUAUAGCUGACUAUGCGGUAUGGCCUUUGCUCAUUGUUGAAGGCCGUACGGUGACCUAUAGUUGUUAAUGUCUAUGUCAUUUUGGUCUUUU